GAAAUGCGAUACUUAGUGUGAAUUGCAGAAUCCCGUGAAUCAUCAAGUCUUUGAACGCAAGUUGCGCCCGAGGCCUCGGCCAAGGGCACGUCUGCUUGGGCGUCGCACUACAAAAUUGCCCUCCCCAGCGAGGAGCGGAGAUGGCCGUCCGUGUCUGCAAGUGGCGCGGUCGGCUGAAAUGAGCACGAGGUCCGUCGGUCCGUCGCGACGAGCGGUGGCUCCCAAAGGCCGGCGUUGGUUUGCGCUGAUCGAACGAUUCCUCGCGAGGAACUUUAUUCUGGGUCCAGCGGCCCGCCGCAGUGCGGGCAUGCUGUAUCUCUACCGCGUCCCCAAGUCAGGCGUGAAUACCCGCUGAGUUUAA
rnacentral:rRNA from 1 species